GACGAACGCUGGCGGCGUGCCUAAUACAUGCAAGUAGAACGCUGAAGGAGGAGCUUGCUCUUCUGGAUGAGUUGCGAACGGGUGAGUAACGCGUAGGUAACCUGCCUGGUAGCGGGGGAUAACUAUUGGAAACGAUAGCUAAUACCGCAUAAGAGUAGAUGUUGCAUGACAUUUACUUAAAAGGUGCAAUUGCAUCACUACCAGAUGGACCUGCGUUGUAUUAGCUAGUUGGUGGGGUAACGGCUUACCAAGGCGACGAUACAUAGCCGACCUGAGAGGGGGAUCGGCCACACUGGGACUGAGACACGGCCCAGACUCCUACGGGAGGCAGCAGUAGGGAAUCUUCGGCAAUGGACGGAAGUCUGACCGAGCAACGCCGCGUGAGUGAAGAAGGUUUUCGGAUCGUAAAGCUCUGCUGUAAGAGAAGAACGAGUGUGAGAGUGGAAAGUUCACACUGUGACGGUAUCUUACCAGAAAGGGACGGCUAACUACGUG
rnacentral:rRNA from 1 species